rnacentral:rRNA from 1 species
GCACAAGCAGUGGAGUAUGUGGUUUAAUUCGACGCAACGCGAAGAACCUUACCAAGUCUUGACAUCCUGCGACGGUGCUGGAAACAGUACUUUCCUUCGGGACGCAGAGACAGGUGGUGCAUGGUUGUCGUCAGCUCGUGUCGUGAGAUGUUGGGUUAAGUCCCGCAACGAGCGCAACCCUUAUGGUCAGUUACUACGCAAGAGGACUCUGGCCAGACUGCCGUUGACAAAA